rnacentral:rRNA from 1 species
GACGAACGCUGGCGGCGUGCUUAAUACAUGCAAGUCGAGCGAACAGACGAGGCGCUUGCUCUUCUGACGUUAGCGGCGGAUGGGUGAGUAACACGUUGAUAACCUCCCUAUAAGACUUGGAUAACUUCGGGACACCGGAGCUAAGAUCGGAGAAUAUCUUGAACCGCAUGGUUCAAUAGUUAAAGACGGGUUUGCUGUCACUUAUAGAUGGAUCCGCGCCGCAUUAGCUAGUUGGUAAGGUAACGGCUUACCAAGGCAACGAUGCGUAGCCGACCUGAGAGGGUGGUCGGCGACACUGGAAGUGGGACGCGGUCAAGAGGCCUACGGGAGGGAGCAGUAGGGUAUCGUCGGCAGUAGGCGAGAGCAUGACGGAACGGCGGCGAGUGUGUGGUAGAGGUCUUCGGAUCGUAAUACUGUGUUAUGGGUGGUGAACAAAUGUGUAAGGGGAUGAACAGGUAUUGACGGUACCUGAUCAAGAAGCAACGGCUAACUACGUG